GGACAUACGUGAGACUGGAUAAUUUAUAAAGGAAAGAAGUUUAAUUGACUCACAGUUCUGCAGAGCUGGGAGGUUUCAGGAAAGUUAUAAUCAUGGCGGAAGGGAAAGCAAACAUGUCCUUCUUCACAUGGCAGCAGCAAGGAGAAACACAGAGUAAAGCAGGGAAAAUUCCCUUAUAAAAAAACUAUUAGAUCUCGUGAGAACUCACUUGCUCUCACAAGAACAGCAUGGAGGUAACCACCCCCAUGAAUCAAUUACCUCCCACUGGGGCCCUCCCACAACAUAUGGGGAUUUUGGGAGCUACAGUUCAAGAUGAGAUUUCGGUGGGGACACAGCCAAACCAUACCAAAGUCCAAGAUCAAGGUGUUGGCAGGGUUGAUUUCUUCUGCAGUCUGUCUCCUUCACUUACCAUUGGCCUCUUCUUGCUGUGUCCUCACAUAGUUGUCUCCAGGUUUAUGUGUUGUGUGUGUCCUAAUCUUCUCUUCAUACAAGGACAUCAGUCAUAUUGUAUUAGGGCCCAACCUAUUGACCUCAUUUUACCUUAAUCAGCUCUUUAAGAGCCCUGUCUUCAAACCCAGUUACAGUCUGAGGUACUUGGGGGUUUGGACUUCAACAUGUAGAUUUCAUGAAGGCACAGUUCAGCCCGUAACACCAGCCAAAGAUCUUAUCAUCAGCUUACCUGUGCUUCCCUCGUCCCCCCAUCAUUCUCUACCUUAGGGCCUAUCCAAAUUGCCCUACAAAAUGUGGAGUCCCUUCCCAAUGCACAAUAUGAAAUAUAUGAAAUAAUAUAGACAUAUAGAAACCAGAUGCUUGCAACAACCUAUUCAUGACUGAUAUACUCUUGGUGAAAUAAUAUAGACAUAUAGAAACCAGAUGCUUGCAACAACCUCUUCAUGACUGAUAUACUCUUAAGGUUCUUGGAUAAAUGGGAGUACCUAUUAAAAAUGAUUCAGACCAGACACAGUGGCUCACACCUAUAAUCCCAUCACUUUGGGAAGCCAAGGUGGGAGGAUUACUUGAACUCAGGAGUUCAAGACCAGCCUAGGCAACAAAGCGAGACCUUGUAGCUACUAAAUUUAAAAAAAAAUCAGCCAGGUGUAGUGGCAAAUGCCUGUAGUCCCAGCUACUUGGGAAGUUGAGGCUGGAGGGUCACUUGAAAUCAAGGCUACAGUGAGCUAUGAUCGUGCCACUGAGCUCCAGCCAGGGCGACAGAGCAAGACCCAGUCUCAGUGAAUCAAUCAAUAAGAUCCUUUCAGAGACAUCUUGAAACUAUGUUUUAACUGAGAAAGUGGGAAAAAAAGUCAAGAAACUGACUUAGUUUCAUUAUUAGUCUAAUCUAAAAUAACAUGUUUGCUGUGUGCUAAAAAUAAUACUCAGACUCUCUGACUGAGUAAGCACACUGAGAAUAAACAGGUUUUUUUUUUUUAAUCACAAAAACGUCAAUCAUAAUCAACACCCAAUGUGGGAAAGUAUCUUCCUCUUAAAAAUAUUAAGAAAGUGGCUGGGUGCGGUGGCUUACGCCUAUAGUCCCAGCACUUUGGGAGGCUGAGGUGGGCGGAUCACAGGACUUCGAGACCUGCCUGGCCAACAUGGUGAAACCCUAUCUCUACUAAAAAUACAAAAAUUAGUUGGGUGGCAGGCACCUGUAAUCCCAGCUGCUUGGGAGGCUGAGGCAGGAGAAUCGCUUGAGCCCAGGAGGCAGAGGUUGCAGUGAGCCAAGAUUG
rnacentral:lncRNA from 1 species